rnacentral:lncRNA from 1 species
AAUUUUCUACUACAAUUUGUUGAGUGACUUGAAAUAUUGAGAUGAUAAUAUCUAGAUGCAUGGACUUGGUUAAUGUCAUAGUGGAAGAUUGUUUUAAAUCUUAAUAUCAUAUUAUGUUGUGUUCUAUUUAGAAGUUGUGCAUUUAUAUUAAACAUAUGAAAAUUGUAUUGUUGUUUUUAAGUAUUUGAGUUUGUAUUUUUCAUAUUUUGCUAUCGCUAUUAUAUGGCAUAAAUGUUUAAUAUUGUAUUUGAAUAUGUAUUUUGAAUGGCAUGAAUGUUUAGUAUUUGAAUAUAUAGUUUGAAAUUUUAGUUUUUUUGUAUAAUAUGUUUCGAAAUUGGUAAAUAUUAUUUUCGGGUUCGGAUUUUCGGGUUUAGAAUCGGGUUCGGGUUUUCGGGUUUUUGGUCAGGUUCGGGUUUCGGGUUUUUGCUCGGGUUCGGGUUUGGAUGUGGAUUUUUAAAAUCCAUCCGGUUCGGGUUCGGGUUUCGGUUCGGGUUUCAGAUUUGGUAGUUAGGUUCACGUUCGGAUUUUUAAAAACCCGCCCCGAAUCCGACCCGUUGACAUCCCUAAUUAUAAUAACCGUAUGAAUUUGGUGAGCCUAUUAAAG